GGGAAGGUGGCUCAGUGGUAGAGUGCUUGCCUUGCAUGCAUGAGGCCUUGGGGUUCGAUUCCUCAGCAUCACA
rfam:Dipodomys ordii contig_76432, whole genome shotgun sequence.